rnacentral:rRNA from 1 species
UGAGUACGAGACGCUAAGGCGUCGAAGUAGUGGAUGUCAUACUUCCAAGAAAAGCUUGCACUGUCAUAAAUAAUAAACGCCUGUACCAUAACCGACACAGGUGGGUAGGUAGAGUAUACUAAGGGGCGCGAGAUAACUCUCUCUAAGGAACUCGGCAAAAUGACUCCGUAACUUCGGGAGAAGGAGUGCCUUAUUCGUAAGGCUGCAAUAACAAGAUCCAAGCAACUGUUUAUCAAAAACACAGGUCUCCGCUAAGUCGUAAGACGAUGUAUGGGGGCUGACGCCUGCCCAGUGCCAGAAGGUUAAAGAAGUCGGUUAGCAUUAGCGAAGCUGGUAACUGAAGCCCUGGUGAACGGCGGCCGUAACAAUAACGGUCCUAAGGUAGCGAAAUUCCUUGUCGGGUAAGUUCCGACCCGCACGAAAGGCGUAAUGAUUUGGAUACUGUCUCGGAGAGGGGCUCGGUGAAAUAGACUUGUCUGUGAAGAUGCGGACUACCUGCACCAGGACAGAAAGACCCUAUGAAGCUUUACUGUAACUUGAAAUUGAAAUUGGACUUUAUUCGCGCAGUAUAGGUGGGAGGUGUUGAUUAUAAUCUUGCGGGAUUAUUGGGGCCAUCAGUGAGAUACCACUCUUGUAAUGUUAGAUUUCUAACUUUGAAUCAUUAUCUGGUCAAAGAACAGUUUCAGGCGGGCAGUUUGACUGGGGCGGUCGCCUCCUAAAUGGUAACGGAGGCGUACAAAGGUUUCCUCUGAACGGGUAGAAAUCGUAUCUAGAGUGUAAAGGCAUAAGGAAGCUUGACUGUGAGACCUACAAGUCGAGCAGGGACGAAAGUCGGUCUUAGUGAUCUGACGGUACUGAGUGGAAAGGCCGUCACUCAACGGAUAAAAGUUACUCUAGGAUAACAGGCUGAUCUCCCCCAAGAGUCCACAUCGACGGGGAGGUUUGGCACCUCGAUGUCGGCUCAUCGCAUCCUGGGGCGGUAGUACGUCCCAAGGGUUGGGCUGUUCGCCCAUGAAAGCGGUACGCGAGCUGGGUUCAGAACGUCGUGAGACAGUUCGGUCCACAUCAGGUGUAGGCGUUAGAAUAUUGAGAGGAGCCUUCUUUAGUACGAGAGGACCGAGAAGGACAUACCUCUGGUGUACCAGUUAUCGUGCCAACGGUAAACGCUGGGUAGCUAUGUAUGGAGUGGAUAACCGCUGAAAGCAUCUAAGUGGGAAGCCCACCUCAAGAUAAG